rnacentral:lncRNA from 1 species
GGGAUGGACGGUUAGGAUGAGAGGUAAGUGGGAUAUAAAUAGGAGGAAGGAGAAGAAAAAAAAAAGAAAAAGAAAGAAAAAGAAAAAAAGAGGAAAAGAAAAGGAAAAGAAGGAAAGAAAAAGGGAAAAACAGAGAGGAGGAAACGGGGAAGAGAAGAUUCAAGAGAGAGGGAAGCCGGAGCAGGAAGGAACGAGAAGAGAGAGCGGGAGAAGGAAGACGAUGACGAUGCGAGCUACGGAAGUGCGGAAAGAAAAGAUGGAGACUGGAGGUAUAGUAAAUUUAAAUUUCAAGUGUAGGAUGAGGAUGAAAUGUGGAGUUGUGACUGUAAGUGUUGAAGAAAUAUAUGAAUAGUUAAGAAAAUGGAGUAGGAAACAAUGAUAGAUGGAAUAUGAGAGUAGAAAGAGACUGUGAGUGAAGAAAACAUGGAUGGAGCUGUGAGUAGAGAGAAAUGGAAGAAGCCACGGGAGGAGAGAUCAAUGAGUUCGGUGAGUGAGUGAGUUACCGCUAGAGGAAGGAGUACGAUGAUUGAAAAGGUGCAAGGGAGUUCGUAGGGAAGUGAGGUGAGUUGGAGUGAGU